rnacentral:lncRNA from 1 species
UUGUUACUCCUCUCUUGGAUGGAUCCAACUAUCUCGCAUGGAGUCAUUCAAUGAUUCGUGCUUUUGGCGUGAAAAACAAAUUGAAAUUUAUUGAUGGUUCGAUGGAGAUUCCUGAUGAAAAUGAUCUGAAUCGUAGUGCGUGGGAACGAUACAAUCAUCUAAUUCAGUCCUGGAUCAUCAAUUCAGUUUCAUCUCAAAUUGCUCAAACACUGGUUUUUCAUGAAUCCGCCAUUGAUGCUUGGUUAGAUCUCAAAAAGUGUUUUUCUAAAGUUGAUAGAAUACGCAUUGCUACACUUCGAUCCACAAUCAACAACUUGAAACAAGGUUCAAAAUAUGUUUUAGAUUACUUUAUUGAGAUGCAUACUCUAUGGGAGGAGUUGAAUUCUCAUAGACCUAUGCCUCACUGCGCUUGUCCCCACCCUUGCCGUUGCGCCUCCGUGAGAGAAGCUCGCAAUUUUAGACUUGAGAAUCAGGUCAUUCAAUUUCUUACUAGAUUGAAUGAUCAAUUCACAGUUAUUAAAACUCAAGUUUUCAUGAUGGAUCCUCUUCCAUCAAUCAACAAAGUUUAUUCCUUAGUGAUUCAGGAAAAAAGCAAUAAUCACUAUGUAGAUUCUUCCGUUGAUGAUCAUGUUUCUUUGGUGAAUGCUUCUG